GUGAAGCCCUAACAAAGACUGACCUCUGGCUCCAGAAGGGAGCUUGCCUGGCCCUGAAAAGCCUGAAGGCUACUGAAAGCAUUAAAAUGCUGGUGACAUUGUGUCAGUCUGAUACUGAAGAAAUCAGAAAUGUGGCCUCAGAAACUCUCUUAUCUCUUGAUGUGGCUCCCCAGAGCCCCCAGAGCCCGCCAUACCACCGGUUCCUGAUUCUCAACACUAGAUGCCCAUUGGAAUCACCAGGGAACCUUUAAAAUACACCUGUACCUGGGCUCCACU